AUCCUCGUCGCGAACGGGCAGGUCGCGGUGUCCUCCCGGGACGCGAAGGGCCGCGUGUUCGACCUCGCCGAGCGCG
rnacentral:tRNA from 1 species